rnacentral:rRNA from 1 species
UCUACGGGGGGCAGCAGUGAGGAAUAUUGGUCAAUGGGCGCGAGCCUGAACCAGCCAAGUAGCGUGAAGGAUGACUGCCCUACGGGUUGUAAACUUCUUUUAUAAAGGAAUAAAGUGAGGCACGUGUGCCUUUUUGUAUGUACUUUAUGAAUAAGGAUCGGCUAACUCCGUGCCCGCAGCCGCGGUAAUACGGAGGAUCCGAGCGUUAUCCGGAUUUAAUGGGUUUAAAGGGAGCGUAGAUGGGUUGUUAAGUCAGUUGUGAAAGUUUGCGGCUCAACCGUAAAAUUGCAAUUGAUACUGGCAGUCUUGAGUACAGUUGAGGUAGGCGGAAUUCGUGGUGUAGCGGUGAAAUGCUUAGAUAUCACGAAGAACUCCGAUUGCGAAGGCAGCUUACUAAACUGCCACUGACAUUGAUGCUCGAAAGUGUGGGUAUCAAACAGGAUUAGAUACCCUUGUAGUC